CUCAGUCUCCAGCGAGAGUUAUCAACCACUCCUAAAGAAAUCUGCAAAAGUGUCGCCUACACGUGUUCGAACCUGAAGGUGUGGUCCAUAAAAGAGAUUUAGAUAAGUUUUGCAAAGCUCUCAUCUUUUUUAAUUGAGCAGUGAAUCUGGCAUUGUUGUAAUCUUCUUACUCUGAUUCUAUUGAAAACCAUUUCUUAUACAUAUGUUCUUCGCACCAACACGAGAGAAUUGGUAUGACAGCUACACGAGUUUAUGUACUUAUCUCUUGAAAGUUUACUUCAACAAGCAUAUUUGAUCUUAAUGAUACAAUAGAUAAAUGGUGUAGCAAAUAAAAGUCUUAUAGCAGUUGGCGAGACAAAUCUUAUCUUGAAAAAGACUAUUCACCAUGUUUCUACAAUGCUGAAGAGGGUACCCCUUAAGCCGAGAAAAAAACUAUAAUCUCUUGAUUCCCACGUUAAUGUAUGUUUAAUAAUCUCCAAAUCUCUGUCAAGCAUAUAUUUGUGCUCAAUAUCUUGAAUGUGUUUUAACUUACUAACAAAAUGUGUAAACUGGCUUACUUUGUGAUAAUUAAUUUUUUAGGGACAGAUGAACUGGUCAAUGGAACAUAGCCAGCAUGAGCCUAAGACUGAGCUUUGAUAGAGGAACGAAAGGUACUGAUACACAAUUCUUCUCUUUUUGACGCAAUUGUUUGAUUUGUCAAGGGUGUUUUAGCAUUUGAGAUCUUGAACAUAGAUUUAUCCUUCAUGAAUAACUUUUACCUCCCACUUAUUUAUUUGCUUGCCACCGACUGAUUCUAUUGUUAUGUGAACGUGUAGUUUCCUACACUUCUGCACCAUUUGGAGAUUAUAUUGCUUCUCCACUACUACUAAAUAUACAUGGUUACAAAAAGCUUUUCCUGCAAACUAGAGUAAUGUACUCAAUUUUGAUUCAUCUCAAUGGUCAAUGUGUCUCUGAAGGUGGUUCAAAGAAAUCUGCUGAAAAUGGGUUUAUGACAGGAGGUGGCUGUAAUAGCUCGAGCAGCAGAGUAGGAAGACAAACCUGGUGAUUUAUUUUUCUUUGAAAUCGCAUGUGUAUGCACAUUAAUCUUUUCUUAAUGUACACAUUAUUGAGUAUUGAAUAAAUUUGGAGGGGAUAAUGUCACCAAUGUCAAAUUCGAUUAUCAUUAUUUGCCUGAUUCAAGGUCCAAGUUGUGGAGUAGAAGUUGGAAUGCGGCUCUGGAGACAAAUCAGUGUUGGGUAGAUAAGGAAUGUCUUAAACACCUGAAAAGAAGUAAGUCACAAGAUUCAUACACCACAGAAGAAGUAAGACACAAGAGUUGGAAGUGGUGACGACAAUGUAAGAAGGAAACUAAAAGAAUAUUUGUAAUGGGAAGAUUAAAAAAGUUUCUACGGUUUGUGUGUUCCUGAGGAUUCGGUUUGGUGUGUUUUGUUUUCAUAGCCAAAAUGGUGCUCUUAGUAAAAUACAAAUAUAGAGAUGGAACGAUAAUUUCAAAUUAAAAUUAGUUAUACAAAGCUUAGCUGAAGUAGCAGUAUGUUAUAUAUAUAAAAAAUAAAUUUCUAAUGGGUUCUUAAAAGAUAGUUGUAUAGAAUACGAUUUACAUUACAUAUACGACUGAAUAUAAUUCCAAGUGUUGAUUAUAUUCACUAAGUUCAAUGUUAAAAAACUUCAUAAAGCCACUUAGAAAUAUACAUAUUCAUAACCAAUUUUUAAGGAUUAAGUGUAUGUAUUUUCUUGAGCCCUCAUAUAAUAUAUAAACUGAAAUUAUUCAUAUAUACAAUAAAAAUUACUUUCUCCAUUUUCUAAUAGAUGAGGUUUUAGAGAUUUUUUUCCAAACUAUAUACCGUUUUUAAUUUUUAAUAUGAAAUUUAUUAUUUUUAUGAUGGUUUUUAAUAGAUAGAUAGUGAAGGUGUUCUUAUUAUAAAAUAUAUAGAGAAACAAACUAAAUGUUUUUUAAUUUAUGUGCAUAAAUACAAAACAUCAAGAAAUACAAACAGAAAGAACAUAAUACAUUUAUUCAUGUAUAAUUUAAAUUUAUAACUAUUUAUAUUCUACUCUUAUCAUUUGUAGAUGUUACUGUUAAGAACUAAAUAAGAGUCAUGCAUUUUGGUUUAAUAUAUAUUAUUCCUUGCUACGUACCAAUAA